AUUUAUUUAUUCUGGUUUUUGUUUUACUGGGGAUUGAAACUGGAGACUUAUGCAUGCUAGGCAAGCACUCUACUUUAGCCCCAGCUCUAUCUAUCUAUCUAUCUAUCUAUCUAUCUAUCUAUCUAUCUAUCUAUCUACCUACCUACCUACCUACCUAUCUAUCUAUCUAUCUAUCUAUCUAUCUAUCUAUCUAUCUAUCUAUCUAUCUAUCUACACAUGGCCUCCUCUAUCUAUCUAUCUAUCUAUCUAUCUAUCUAUCUAUCUAUCUAUCUAUCUAUCUAUCUAUCUACACAUGGUCUCCUGAAGACCAGGCUAAUUUCAAAUUCCCCACAUAGCCAAGGACGACCUUGGACUUGAUCCUCCUGCCUGCCUUUACCUCCCCCACUCUGGGAUUACAAGCAUGUAUUGCCACGACUGGUUCCUUUGAGCCUAGAACAUUCACAAGGAUGAGAAUGUAUAGGAAAAUGUACAUCAAAGCCUUAUUUUCCUUUCAGGGUACCAAGACCUGAAACCGAAGACUAGGUUUUAAGCUGGCACAGGGGAGGAAGCCCAGGGCCAAACAGGGUCUAGCAACUGUAUGUUACGCUGAGGUUGAUGCUGCCAACCGUUGGCAGGUCCUUGUUCCCCUACAAGCUGUUUGUAUUGCUUAAUAAGGAAGCUGUUCAGUGACCCCUUUAUCAUCUGGAUAAGUCAGCAGCUUUCCACAGUGUUAGUCGAAAGGCUGUACAGUGUCACCCUUGGUGUCCCUGGACAACUAGUUCUAGAAUAUUCUUCAGAGUUCCAAAUCCACGGAUACUCUAGGGUUGAUACUUUUGGAGGGCGGUGGCAGGAUGGAAUGGGAUCUCUUUGUUACCCAACCUGUUCUCAAACUCCUGGGCUUAAGCAGCCUUCCUGCAUCAACUCUUUGAGUAGCUUGGACAACAAGAACUCAUGCUACUACUCCUGGCUUUAGGAUCUGUAUGUAACCAUGCCAUCUCCUGCAUGUUCAAUCAUCUCUAAGUUACUUGUGAUAUUUAAGACACUGUGAAUGGGAUUGAAACAGUUGCUAGACUAGACUAGACUGUUAAGGGAAUGAGUAAGGAACAAACUUUCGGAUGUGAGAGUGAUCAGGCUGGCUAGGCCAGUGACCUCCAUCCCUCACUGCUCCAUGUGUGUCUCUGUGGAAGCAUCAUGCUUGGUCAAAGAGGACGACCUUCCCUAAGCAGAGGAUGGCUUUCUGUCAAGGGUAUACAGGCAGCUCUGCUCCCCUGCUGGAACCUCCAAACAACCUCUCAAGAAAGAACACUGCACAUGUUCAGUGCAGACAAGACCUUUGUAGGGCUGACUGUGAUCUUGCUGUUGUUUGAACCUGUGCAAAUACGAGUGGGUUCACUACAGCGGUCAUUUCUAUGAAGAGGAAUGUCCAUGCAGGGCAUGACGAUAAAGUGAACAGUAAUGAUGCAGCCGACAAUUCCGUUCUGUGGCUGGGUGCUGUGCUGAGCACUUCACACAUGACCUCAUCCUGUAUAGCGUGUCUGCUGACUGGAGACUAAGGGCUGAGGUAUUUGCUCCCGCGGCUUCUCUGGGAGGAUGGCUGGGAUGCCUGAGAGAAGAAUCCUUCAGGUGAGGACCUGCUGAGGAGAUUUCCACAAGCUGCUUCCGACACCAUCUGAGACUCAAAGCCUCCACUGGAUGGGGGGACCUGGGGGUCACAAGGCCCAGGGGGUCGGAUGCUGCUGUCUGCUGUGCUCUCUUGUUAACUCGUAGUCCUGCCGUAUUCUGGAAACUCAGACACGAUCCGAGACUCCCUAGAGAAGCAGCAGUCACUUUGAUGAUCCGAUUACGGACCUGAUCCUAGAGUACUAUACAGACCUCAGGUGUAACAAGCCCUAGGACGACACGGAGGCAAACCCAUUUGAGCCUAAGUGUUGGAAACCUUUGCUCAGUCUGCAAGGUGCUCCCUGGACCCUGCUGUCCUGGGCGAGCUCUAUAAACAAGUACUGUCAACUGAAGGACCCAAGGGGAGAAACCUGUGUGUGUGUGUGUGUGUGUGUGUGUGUGUCUCUGUGUGUGUGUUGGAUGACUCACCUCAGUGCGCUGUACCCCUGGCACACACUGACACAGCACAGGACCUUUUCCUGGUUUGCCUGCGUCUCCCCCAAGUAUUUGCACACGAUGUUACCACCCAGGCUGAAGCCCACGACGACCAGCUGGGUCUGGGGAUAUGUCCUCUUGAUGUAGUUCACCAUGGCUCCAAAUUCCCACGUGCAGCCUGUGGGCAAAAGGAGAGGUCACCUGACCAUUGCCAAUACAACAGAAACUGAAGAAAAUGCAAGCUGGAGUGUUGCUAACUGGGUGCCCAUGCACUGAAGAAUGAGGCACGCGUGCAUGUGUGCUGAGAAAACGCAGGAAAGACCAUCAAGUUUGCCAGUUCUCCAGGACUGGGGAAGUCACAGACAACGGGCUUGCAGGCACGUUCCCUGUAAAUAACUGCAUGACCGUGCACAGUGGAACAGAGACCUUGGACUGCACUGUGGUAACAUAAUUAAUGCUUUUUAAAAUACAGUCCUGGGGCUGGAGAGAUGGUUCAAUGGUUAAUGCACUUGCUGCUCUUGUAGUUGACCCAGGUUCAGUUCUCAGCACUCAAAUGGCAGUUCACAACCAUCUCUAAGUCCACUUCCAGGGGGAUCUUAGGUCCUCUUUUGGCCUCUGUGGGCACCAGGCAUGCACAAGGUGCACAGACAUGCAUGCAGACCAAACAUCCAAGCACACUAUAGAGAUCUGAAUAAGAAAUGUUCCCUGCAGUAGUGGCAUUUGAACAUACAAGCCCCACCCCUAGUUGGUGUUACUCUUUGCUAAUGUGUAGGAGUUGUGGUCUUGUUGGAAGACGAAUGUCACUGGACGUAGGCUUUGAAAGUUUAAAGGCUCAUGCUUCAGGCUUCCAGUUCAGGAUGCGAGCUUUCAACAGCCUGCGCUAGCUGCUGUGACUGCCUGAUGUCACAGUCCCACCAUCAUGGAUGCUAACUCUGUAAGACCAUAAGCCUAAAUGAACUCUCCUUGGUCAUAUGCCUUGGUCAUAGCAUUUUAUCGAAACUAAUACACACAUAAUUUAUUUUUCUUAGUACAGUCCUUAAGGCAGGUGGCAUAUAUCUGAUAUUCUAGCACUUGGGAGGUGGUUAUAGGAGGGUCAGGAGUUCAGAGUUAUCACUAGCUACAUAGCAUGUUGCAGGCCAGCUCAGGCUAUAUGAGACCAGAUCUUGAAAACAAGAAAAAGUCUAAUUUUUUGAAUCACUGCCACUAAGGGCAGAAGGACUCAAGAGUUCCAGUCCAGCCUGGGCUACAUAGUUGGACCCUGACUCAAAUAAGAACAAAAUAAAAUAAAACAGUGUUUUGGUCUAGCAAUUUCAUUUCUGGAACCUUACGCUGCAGAUACAAUUGUAUAUGUGUGCAAAGAUGUAGGCACAUGCAUAUUCUUCGCAACUGCUGUCUGUAGCUGUAAAGACCCUGGGAUGCCCCCUUUUCCUCCCACCCCCACCACCAUUUCUAUCAGCAAGCCAUCUUUCAGAGAUACCAAACCAUGGGAAGUUGCAGGAAAGGGUGCCUGCCAUCUCAUGUGCACGCUUAGAUUCAAACGGGAAAGAUAGGUGUGCACAUAUCUAACUGAGCAUUUGUGGAAAACUGUGGCAGAUACCAAGGGGAGAACUGUGGGCCUCAUAUUUAAUAAUAAAAAAAUCUAGCUAGUUUAAAAAUAGAGUCAAAUGAAGAUCCCGGAGGCCAGUUUUGACUAUGCUAAAGAGACCCGACACAUCAGUAAGCCAGGACAGCAGUUUACGCUGGGGACAGUAUUUGCAUAAGGAAUGGUUCUGUAGGGAUUUAUUUAAAUUGUUACAAACCCUGUACUUCUCUAUCAUUUCUUUGGAUUUCUGCCUAAUGUCAUCCUUGGCUAAUUACUCAUAUCUCUAUGUUGUGUUCUAAUGUUGAAUAAGCUGCUAUUAGAUUUAAACUCCAUAGCGAUGUCCUUGAUCUUGCUCCCCGCUGCAUCCGUGAGCCAAAUGCUUAGAGGAUGCUAAAUCGGCAUGACCUGAGUGAAGAGAUGGAGGAGGGAGGCAUGCUCUGUUGCAGGCUUUCUGUUUGGAUCACACACAGAAACAGAACUGUCUACCAAGGUGACAUGUGCUCCCCCCACAGCGAAUGAGUGGGGAUGCUGGCUUUGGGACUUGUGUCUGCAACCGAAGUCUUUGGCCCUAUAUCACAAACCUACAGAGGCAUGAGUACUGCAGGGCCAUACUGAUCAACUAUUAAAGACUUCCUGUCUCCCAUCUGAA